rnacentral:rRNA from 1 species
GCACGAAGGUUGGCUAAUCCUGGUCGGACAUCAGGAGGUUAGUGCAAUGGCAUAAGCCAGCUUGACUGCGAGCGUGACGGCGCGAGCAGGUGCGAAAGCAGGUCAUAGUGAUCCGGUGGUUCUGAAUGGAAGGGCCAUCGCUCAACGGAUAAAAGGUACUCCGGGGAUAACAGGCUGAUACCGCCCAAGAGUUCAUAUCGACGGCGGUGUUUGGCACCUCGAUGUCGGCUCAUCACAUCCUGGGGCUGAAGUAGGUCCCAAGGGUAUGGCUGUUCGCCAUUUAAAGUGGUACGCGAGCUGGGUUUAGAACGUCGUGAGACAGUUCGGUCCCUAUCUGCCGUGGGCGCUGGAGAACUGAGGGGGGCUGCUCCUAGUACGAGAGGACCGGAGUGGACGCAUCACUGGUGUUCGGGUUGUCAUGCCAAUGGCACUGCCCGGUAGCUAAAUGCGGAAGAGAUAAGUGCUGAAAGCAUCUAAGCACGAAACUUGCCCCGAG